rnacentral:rRNA from 1 species
AGAGUUUGAUCCUGGGCUCAGGACGAAACGCUGGCGGCGUGCCUAACACAUGCAAGUCGAGCGAGGAACUUCGGUUCCUAGCGGCGGACGGGUGAGUAACACGUGGGCAACCUGCCUUGUAGAGGGGGAUAGCCUUCCGAAAGGAAGAUUAAUACCGCAUAACAUCACGAAAUCGCAUGGUUUUGUGAUCAAAGGAGCAAUCCGCUACAAGAUGGGCCCGCGGCGCAUUAGCUAGUUGGUGAGGUAACGGCUCACCAAGGCGACGAUGCGUAGCCGACCUGAGAGGGUGAUCGGCCACAUUGGAACUGAGAAACGGUCCAGACUCCUACGGGAGGCAGCAGUGGGGAAUAUUGCACAAUGGGGGAAACCCUGAUGCAGCAACGCCGCGUGAGUGAUGAAGGCCUUCGGGUUGUAAAGCUCUGUCUUCAGGGACGAUAAUGACGGUACCUGAGGAGGAAGCCACGGCUAACUACGUGCCAGCAGCCGCGGUAAUACGUAGGUGGCAAGCGUUGUCCGGAUUUACUGGGCGUAAAGGGAGCGUAGGCGGAUACUUAAGUGGGAUGUGAAAUACCCGGGCUCAACCUGGGUGCUGCAUUCCAAACUGGGUGUCUAGAGUGCAGGAGAGGAAAGUGGAAUUCCUAGUGUAGCGGUGAAAUGCGUAGAGAUUAGGAAGAACACCAGUGGCGAAGGCGACUUUCUGGACUGUAACUGACGCUGAGGCUCGAAAGCGUGGGGAGCAAACAGGAUUAGAUACCCUGGUAGUCCACGCCGUAAACGAUGGGUACUAGGUGUAGGGGGGUCCAACCCUCUGUGCCGCCGCAAACGCAUUAAGUACCCCGCCUGGGGAGUACGGUCGCAAGAUUAAAACUCAAAUGAAUUGACGG